rnacentral:rRNA from 1 species
UACAGAGGGGGCAAGCGUUAUUCGGAAUUAUUGGGCGUAAAGGGCGCGUAGGCGGCCUGGCAAGUGGAUGGUGAAAUCCCUCGGCUUAACCGAGGAACUGCCAUCCAGACUGCUUGGCUUGAGACCGGGAGAGGUGAGUGGAAUUCCCAGUGUAGCGGUGAAAUGCGUAGAUAUUGGGAGGAACACCAGUGGCGAAGGCGGCUCACUGGACCGGUACUGACGCUGAGGCGCGAAAGCGUGGGGAGCAAACGGGG